GUUAGAGCGUCGUGCUAAUAACGCGAAGGUCGCGGGUUCGAUCCCCUCAUGGGCCA
rnacentral:tRNA from 1 species